rnacentral:rRNA from 1 species
UACGAAGGGGGCUAGCGUUGCUCGGAAUUACUGGGCGUAAAGCGCACGUAGGCGGAUCUGUAAGUCAGGGGUGAAAUCCCGGGGCUCAACCUCGGAACUGCCUUUGAUACUGCAAAUCUCGAGUCCGGAAGAGGUGAGUGGAAUUCCUAGUGUAGAGGUGAAAUUCGUAGAUAUUAGGAAGAACACCAGUGGCGAAGGCGGCUCACUGGUCCGGUACUGACGCUGAGGUGCGAAAGCGUGGGGAGCAAACAGG